rnacentral:tRNA from 1 species
GCCGUGAUCGUAUAGUGGUUUGAACUCUGCGUUGUGGCCACAGAAACCCUGGUUCGAAUCCAGGUCACGGCA